UACGUAGGUGACCAGCGUUGUCCGGAUUUACUGGGCGUAAAGAGCGCGCAGGCGGUCGUUCAAGUCGAGUGUGAAAGCCCCCGGCUCAACUGGGGAGGGUCAUUCGAUACUGAUCGACUGGAAGGCAGGAGAGGGAAGCGGAAUUCCCGGUGUAGUGGUGAAAUGCGUAGAUAUCGGGAGGAACACCGGUGGCGAAGGCGGUUCUCUGGGCAUUACCUGACGCUGAGGAGCGAAAGCAUGGGGAGCGAACAGG
rnacentral:rRNA from 1 species